rnacentral:rRNA from 1 species
AUACGGAGGGUGCAAACGUUAAUCGGAAUUACUGGGCGUAAAGCGCGCGUAGGUGGUGUAGUAAGUCGGAUGUGAAAGCCCUGGGCUCAACCUGGGAAUUGCAUUCGAUACUGCUUGACUAGAGUAUGAUAGAGGGAAGUGGAAUUUCCGGUGUAGCGGUGAAAUGCGUAGAUAUCGGAAGGAACACCAGUGGCGAAGGCGACUUCCUGGGCCAAUACUGACGCUAAGGUGCGAAAGCGUGGGGAGCAAACAGGAUUAGAAACCCCGGUAGUCC